CCUACGGGUGGCAGCAGUGGGGAAUUUUGCGCAAUGCUCGCAAGUGUGACGCAGCGAUGCCGCGUGCAUGACGAAGGCCUUCUGGUCGUAAAGUUCUUUUGACAGGGAAGAAAAUGCCUAUAAGUAACUGUGUCUGUAUUGACGGUACCUGUAUAAGCAGCCCCGGCUAACUCCGUGCCAGCAGCCGCGGUAAUACGGAGGGGGCGAGCGUUGUUCGGAGUGACUGGGCGUAAAGGGCACGUAGGCGGUGUUGUAAGUCAUUAGUCAAAGACUAGAGCUCAACUUUAGUAAGGCUAGUGAUACUAUAAUACUAGAGAAUCAGAGAGGAUGGCAGAAUUCCUGGUGUAGCGGUGAAAUGCGUAGAGAUCAGGAGGAAUACCGUUAGCGAAGGCGGCAAUCUAGCUGGAAACUGACGCUGAGGUGCGAAAGCGUGGGUAGCAAACAGGAUUAGAUACCCGGGUAGUC
rnacentral:rRNA from 1 species